CUUACCAAUAUGAAUGCUGGGCUUUUCAUGUUUCCCGUGGUGCGGUCAACUGAGAUUUUGAUGUCCCUCAUUUUUUGACUCAUGCCCUAAAAUAAAUUGUCAAGAUGGAUAGAAGGUGUGGGUAAAACACAUACAUCAUGGUGGGGCCUCAAAGCACUAUGGAACGGCAAGUCACCGAUGACAAUGUCAGUAGGCAAACGUCCCAAAUAAAUACCCACCCUUGACACCUUCUAAAGGGUGUGUUCGUGAAAUCCAGCCCGUCCAAAAGGUGCAACCCAUCAUGAUGUCCACAUGAACUAAUAAUCAGGCUGAUCUAAUCAUCAAGUGGGCCACAAUUGAAUUUGGAGGGUUUUGGGUUGUGUACACUUUUUAUGGUAUGGCCCACCUAAUUGCUGGAUUGGCCUGAUUUUUUGUUUGUGUGAUCAAAAUGGUGGGAGGCACCUGUUGGAUGGGUUGGAUAUCAUAUACACAUGGACACAUGCGCCCCAAUGCGGACCCCACAAUGCCUUGACCCUACUACCUUUUUUAAGAAGAAUAAUAGAUGACGUCAUUUUAGUCAUUUUACUCACCAAAAAGCAAUCUAUUGUACUUUAAAAAGGUUGGGGCACUCUUUGGUAUAAUCAAAAUUCCAUGAUCAGUUAACUUCUGUCCGCAUUUCGUUGUAGGACAGGGAUUUGCUUUCCUUUAUCAGAUCUCUCAAGGGUAUGAUACAAUCUACCAAUGCAGUUGCGAUGAUUACUUUCCCUCCAUCUGUUCUGUCACCUUCCUUCUGUAAGAGAUGUCAGCAUUUGGCGGAUACUCUGCUCUCUGUCAGGGCAAUCCCAGGUUAUUAUUCUACAUAUCCGUUCAUCUACAGCCCAAGUGUAUCUGUGAUAAUUUGUGGAUCUGUUUGGGGAAACCUUUUUGAAUCAGAUGAGGACAGAGAUGGCGAAACUCCUCACAGGUUAUCAGGACAUGGUUGGCCUUCUGCAUGUCCAUAAAGUGGCUCAGAUUAAUACUCAGGAUGAUUAUGUGGCGCCCGAUGACGAUGAAUAUGAGGA